rnacentral:lncRNA from 1 species
CAUGCAGUCUUUCGGAUGAUGAAAUGCGCAGGUCAAAACAAUCCCGAAGAACAUGGAGCUUUCACGCAGAUACAGAACACACCUGAAGUCGCACUGGAGUCACUGGCAUCAGCAUCAAAUGCUCUUGAUUCCGGUCAUUAUGAAGAAAUCCCCAGUUCUCAAUCCGGUGAUAGAGAUGGCUACUCUAAUAACGCAGAUGGCACAAGCUAUGAACAACCUGUAAGAAAUGAGUCCGUUACUUACAUUACACCGACGGGUUCUCACUCCGAUUCCACUCAUCAAGAAGAACACCAAUAUGAUGACUUGAAUUCCUCCAAUUAGCUGAUGCCUUACAGGAGCGGACACAGUAGGGCCAGGGAUUUCGUAAAUCAUAGAUAAACUGCAAGCUCACAAUAAGACUGUUUUCUUUUACUUGACGACUAUAAAAUGUAUUAAUUGGCAUAGUUUAUUCCUUAGUCAGGUGUGAUAAAGACUCUUGUGGCUCCAAUGAACAACAAAACAUUUACUAUAGAGCGAACCGCAACGCGGAGCAAUCGUUGUCAGCAUCGUAAGAGGAGGGCAGCACGAAAGUGAGGUUGACACCAUGGCCAGGCAGGCCCUUGACUGGAACCCUCAGGGGAAGAGGAGAGUUGGGAGACUAAAGCAGACAUGAAAAAGAACAGCAGAGAGCGAGGUAGAGGACAUCGGAACCUCAUGGGCCAAACUGAUGGGGGUUGCCCUAUAGCUGGUCCGCUGGCGAGGUGUUGUUGUGGCCAUAUGAUCCUCGAGGAUUAACAAGAACUAAACGAAGCAUUCUGUAAGGGCAUGACCUGUUGCUAAUGAGUAGAGUCAGGGUCUUUGGUAGUGAGAAUUGUAAAAAUUCGUUUAUGAUGUUAUCAUUUCCCCGAGCUUUGCUUUCUUUAAGCUUUUUUAGGCAAUUGGCAACCUCACUCUCAGAUACUUCAGUGUUCAGGUAGUUAUUGCUAUUUUCAGGUAUGUGCACAAGUAGUUCAGUCUCAAAUGUUUCAUUACAAGAGUGAUUUAUCUUCUUAAACUGCUCUAAGAAUUCAUUGCAGGUUGGGUUUUUCUUUCUUUUUUUCACUGUUAUUCUUGUUUAGAGUGUUCCAAAAUGCCUUUGGGUCUUUACAUCUUAGAUACCUAAUUUUCAUAAACCAUUUUUGCUGCUUUCUUGUUUCUUAGCUUUAAAGAAAUGUGUGUCUCUUCAUGCGGCAGCUGGAGUUAAACCAUGGUUUAGUUUUAGGCUUUUGACUAGAGACAUAAUAUUUUAAGGUUGAAUCAGAAGUACUUUGGGUUAAGCAUUUUGUUUGGAUAAAAGUUAUGCUACAUGCUUUGUGUUUAUAGUGCAUCCUAGUUUUCUUUGUGUCUCUGAUUGAAAAUAUUGGCUGUGUUUUUUGUUUUGGUCAAGUUAUCAGAUAAGGGCAAAUCAUGCAAAAAAAAAAAAGUGAAAUGGCACACCUAAAAAGCAAAAUCAUCGUACACAAUAGUAGUGUAUCAACUGAUAAACUGGCCAUCUUUCUUUGUGUAGUAGUAUCAGCAGUAGUAAGAUCCUUACCGUGUGAUUUAUGUCUGUAAUAUUGGUUUCAAUUCAGUGUAUAAACAUAUUUUUUGGUGAUAAAAUCAUAAAUCUAGGUGUUGGUAAAAUGUUUCCAUAUACACAAGUGCCAAGUAAACAAAGUAUAUAACAAGCAUGGGUGUUUCUAAUUUACACAUGAAAGGUUAUUUAAUGUCAAAGAUAAUGGACCUUUUCAAAUGUAUAACACUUCACCUUCAAUCAAGCCAUGUGACUUUCCAAUAACAAAUAGCCUGAUAUAAUAUCAACAUAAUUUGUUAGCAAAACCUAUAGCCCAAAUCCAUCACACCAGACUACUGGUGCCAGUAUACAUAAAAUCCCACCAUUUCAAAUUAACUUGCCUAAAUGUUGCAGAUUUUUUUAAAAAUAGUUCAUUGACAGUACAUUAGGCAGAAUUAUAGUAUGCAAAUGGAAAAACGAUAUACCCUCUAUGAAUGUAUUUUUUGAAGAUUGUAAAAUACAGAUAUAAUAUAGAAAUAUACCAUAGUAGUUUAAAUAAUAAAUUAGACCUAUUUGAAGUUCUGUGGAAACCAUAUAAAAAAUUAUUAAUAUAAGCACAGCUUGUGGAAGCUGGGAUGUUCUCACUAGUUCUAUCUUUCACUCCUUCUCCACAUCUUUCCUCUCUGCUCUUAUCCCCCCUUCUAUACUGAAUGAAUGUCUUGAGAAUGAAAAUUUGUAAUAAU